rnacentral:misc_RNA from 1 species
CAACCUAAGAAUCUUGAGAAGCUAGCAUCGAUUGAUGCACAGCUUAGGCUUUUGGCUCCUGCAAAAGUAAGCGACGAUGACAAAUUAGUGGAAUAUGAUGCUCUGCUGUUGGAUCGGUUUCUUGAUAUUCUUCAAGAUUUGCAUGGAGAGGAUCUCAAGGAAACGGUUCAAGAAUGCUAUGAGCUUUCUGCUGAGUAUGAAGGGAAGCAUGAUUGCCAGAAACUUGAGGAGCUUGGAAAUGUCUUGACCAGUUUGGAUCCUGGGGAUUCCAUUGUUAUUGCCAAGUCUUUCUCUCACAUGCUUAACUUGGCGAACUUAGCUGAAGAGGUUCAAAUUGCAUAUCGUCGACGGCAAAAGUUAAAAAAGGGAGAUUUUGCUGAUGA